rnacentral:lncRNA from 1 species
GUAUGUCAUGGAAGGUUUCAAAGAGGAGACGUUUGACUUGAGUUUUUAAGGAUGAGUUGAAGUUGAUCAGGAAGAUGGGCCUGUUAGGCAGCGGGAAUGGUGGUAUCAAUCGACAUGGUUUGCUCACAAUAUUCUCAUUGCUAGUUUCAUGGAUGUAUCCUGUGGCUUCUCCAUGAGAUAAUGAAGUUCUUGAAAGUGGGAGUGUCAUUUACACUCCUACCUGCAGACAGAGAUGACAAGACUAAGGCACAGAUAAGCACCUGAUACAGAGUAUAAAGCAUUGGCUGAAUGCGUGAAUCUUAGUUCCCGCUUUUCACCUUAGCAUCCUGACUACCGAUGCCCUGAACACACAUGGUGAAUUUGGCUGAAAUGAAGCAUUCUGUGCCUGCCCCACAAACCACCAAGGGACUGUGGGUUUAUUUGUCUCAAGAUGGUCAACACUGCUGUUUUCACAUUUUACUUGCUGUCAAAUAUAAAGAGAUAUCAUAUGUUGCCCGCCUCUGGUUUUCCUGAUGUCUCAAUUUAAGUGGUUUCCAAUUUGGGUAUGAAAUUAUCCAUCAGUCACAGAGAGAACUGGUGCCUUCAGCAGUGGCUGUUGGAAUAAGCCAGGGCUUAACUGGGGAAGCUAAUGGUGGAGGAGCAAGGGCUGGCUAGCAGAGGUUUGGCCCUGCUCCUCCAGGUCCCCUCUGGAAUACCACUUCUCCCCACUGGAUGGUGGGCUGUGUCUAGCCCAUUCCCCAAGAUCCAGUUUGGAUGACACUUCACCUAUUUAUUCAUUGGAUGCUAAUAGUGUCUUCCCUACGCCAGGGACUGACCUAGGCAUCAGGGAUGCAGAGAGCAGGCCUUGGUCACUGUCCCCUGGACUCACACAGUCUGCAGCCUGGUGGAGGAGACACCAUGUGAGCUGAGCUAUAAUGACUGAAUCCAGUCCCUCACCAGAUGCAGUAACCUACAAGUGUCUGUUGCUCAGAAUGUCUUUAUUUUGAUCAGUCACUUCCACAGAGGACUGCCCAAAGAGACGCCUCUGUCCAGCUCUCGGGUCUGUCUGUGUGGAGUACGAGGCGUGUAGCCCUGGUGAUCGUAGAGUGAUGUUAGAUGUCUCAGGGUCAGGUGUUGAAUAAUAUGGGCUCUGCUUGGGAAGGUGUUCCCCUUUUCCUUUUGGCCAUGCUGGUGAGGUCUGAGGUUGAUGCUAGCCCGGCUUUAACUCUUGGAGACCCUGACAAAGUGAGUGUGGGCCUCUGGGUCAUGGUGCCGUCGGCCACUGGGAAGUUCCGAGCUCUCAGAUGCGGCUGCAGUAGACUCCGCUCAGAAAGUCCAGACGCCUUGAGGCCAAGGCUCACCCCCAGAUCAGCUGCAGGAGAAUCUCUUCAAUGGGACCUGGGCACCUCUCACUGUUUUGCAUGAUUCUGAUGCUCCUGAGGUUGAGAACCACUAACACUUAGGAUUUAAUGACAUUUGGCUUUCAUCAGAUCCAGUUGCCUUCUAGUGAUACUGGCUUUCUGUUUGCUAGAGUGAUACAUACUUUCCUUUUUAAGUAAAUGUUAUAAGUGAAAAAAGAUGAAUGGUGUAAUCCCACCCCAGGGUCACUUGAGCCCAGGAGCUCCAGACUAGCCUGGGCAACAUAGUGAGACCCUGUCUUAAAAAAAAAUGCAUGGAUUGAAAAGGCAACGUUAUUCAGCAACAGUGCAAGUGGGAGGCGAGUGUAGCAAGAAUCCUGGUGGUGCUUUGUGAUGCACCGGGGUUUGGGGAACACUCCUCUAGAUUUUAUCCAUGGAUUGCAGUUUUAGCCCCCAUUAUUUUGGCGCCCAUAGACUCAUUGGGAAUGAUUUGACAUUAUGCCAAUGACUCAUUAAGUGCAAACAGCAGAAAUAGCUAAAUGAAACAAUUUAGAAAUAGCUAAAAGGUACAAUUUAGUGAUUGUAUCUUUCUCUGUGUAACAAAUUGUCCCAACACUGAGAGGAAAAAGGACAUUUGGCAGUGACAGCAUUUACCAUCUCACAGUUUCUGUGGGCCUGGAGUCCUCGUGCCACUCAGCUGGUUCUCUCUCCAGGGUCUCUCCCAGGCUGCAACCACAGCCUCAGCCGGUGACUGCAGACACCUCAGGGCUCUCCUAGGGAAGGAUCUGCGUCCAAGCUAACCCGUGUGGUUGUUGGCAGGAUUCAGUUUCUUACGGACUCUUGGACUGAGGGCCUCAGUUACUCUCCAGCUGUUGACUGGAGGCCACCCUCGGUUUCUUGCCUAUCCAGGCCUCUUCACUGCGGCCAAAGAAAGCAAAAGAGAGAGACCAACUAAAUGGGAAUCAGGGUGUUUUGUAGUCUAAGCUUUAGAGGUAGCAUUCUGGCCGGGAGCAGUGGCUCACGCCUGUAAUUCUAGCAUUUUGGGAGGCUAAGGUGGGGGUGCAUUUGAGGUCAGGAGUUCGAGACCAGCCUGGCCAACAUGGUGAAGCCCCAUCUCUACUAAAAACACAAAAAUUAGCCAGGCGGUAGUUACACACGCCUGUGAUCCCAGCUACUCAGGAGGCUGAGGCAGGAGAAUCACUUGAGCCCGGGAGGCGGAGGUUGCAGUGAGCCAAGAUCGACCCACUACAUUCCAGUCUGGGUGACAGAGCGAGACUC